rnacentral:rRNA from 1 species
AGAAUCAACGCUGGCGGCGUGCCUAACACAUGCAAGUCGAACGAGAAAGUGGAGCAAUCCAUGAGUAAAGUGGCGCACGGGUGAGUAACACGUGACUAACCUACCCUUGAGUGGGGGAUAACCUAGAGAAAUCUGGGCUAAUACCGCAUAAUACCUUCGGGUCAAAGGAGCAAUUCGCUUAAGGAGGGGGUCGCGGCCGAUUAGUUAGUUGGCGGGGUAAUGGCCCACCAAGACUAUGAUCGGUAUCCGGCCUGAGAGGGCGCACGGACACACUGGAACUGAAACACGGUCCAGACUCCUACGGGAGGCAGCAGUGGGAAUUUUGCGCAAUGGGGGAAACCCUGACGCAGCAACGCCGCGUGGAGGAUGAAGUCCCUUGGGACCGUAAACUCCUUUCGAUCGGGACGAUAAUGACGGUACCGAGAGAAGAAGCCCCGGCUAACUUCGCGCCAGCAGCCGC